ensembl:rRNA 5S_rRNA 5S ribosomal RNA
GCUUACGGCCAUACCAGCUGAAGAACGCCCGAUCUCGUCUGAUCUCGGAAGCUAAGAAGGCUUGGGCCUGGUUAGUACUUGCAUGGGAGACUACCUGGGAAUACCAGGUGCUGUAAGCU